AAAAGCAGAAUAAGUUGAACUGGAAAUUACAGAAUAUCAGCAGAUGUUAGGUUCAAAGAAUUAUCAAUAACAAUGUCUAAAAUCCUUCCCCAUCAACAAUGAAUUAUCCCAAACUAGACUUAGCCAUCUCAUACGCCAAGAAACAUGCAGCAUUUGCAGGGACACUACGUCCCAUAGCAGGUCCAAAGCCCUUGUAAAGGCCUUUGACUCCCUCCGAUGCCAAGAUCUUCUUGAAUGCAUCAAAAAAGCCAGAGAAUUUUGGGUUUUUAUAGUCAUCGAUUUGGAUUACACUCUUGAUCACGUCUGUUGGAUACACCGAAAUCCAGAAGGAACCACCAGCCAGGCCACCUGCUACAAUAAGAGAACCUCUUCCCAACCCUGAAGUGUCUGUGCCUCCUGCAAAGUACUGCUUUAGUGCUUCAUACAUGCCAAACAUAGCAGCAUUUCCGGGGAUUUCACGUGCCAUGGUGGGAAACAAGCCCUUGAAGAGACCCAUCAUGCCUCCUUCGGAUCGAAGAACAUGUCUUGCUACAUCCAUU
rnacentral:misc_RNA from 1 species